UACGGAGGGGGCUAGCGUUGUUCGGAAUUACUGGGCGUAAAGCGCACGUAGGCGGCUUUGUAAGUUAGAGGUGAAAGCCCGGGGCUCAACUCCGGAAUUGCCUUUAAGACUGCAUCGCUAGAAUUGUGGAGAGGUAAGUGGAAUUCCGAGUGUAGAGGUGAAAUUCGCAGAUAUUCGGAAGAACACCAGUGGCGAAGGCGACUUACUGGACACAUAUUGACGCUGAGGUGCGAAAGCGUGGGGAGCAAACAGG
rnacentral:rRNA from 1 species